rnacentral:tRNA from 1 species
UAUACUUUAGUAUAAAAUGUAUAGGAGUUUUUGAUACUUCAGGAGAUGGGAUGUAUCCAUUAAGUGUAA